rnacentral:lncRNA from 1 species
CGUCCCCGGCGUCACCCGCGUCCCCGCGGGGCCGCACACGCGUGUGCGUCUCGCGCUCCACCACGACGCGCUCCAGGAACCAGGGCAGCGGCGGCAGGAGGCCGUGGGGCUCCGUGUGCAGCCGCGCCAGCAGCAGGCGGCCCAGGGGCCGCGGCGCCGUCACCCGGCACUCGCGCGCCUGUGGGGACGCGCACACGCUAAGCACACGCUAAGCACACGCGUGUUCCACCCCGGUUUGGUCAUAGGGACAUGUGACACGCUGUGGUCAUGGAUAUGGGGACAUCAUGGCUGCCCUGAUGCGUCCUGGCGUGUCCGUGGGGACGUGUGACACGCUGCCGUCACGCACACGCUAAGCACACGCGUGUUCUGCCCCAGUUUGGUUUGGUCAUAGGGACACGCGACACGCUAUGGACGCCUGGGCCCUUCCCGGACGCCUGGGCCCCUCCCGGAUGCCUGGGCCCCUCCCGGACGCCUGGGCCCCCCCCGGACGGCUGGGCCCCUCUCGGACGCCUGGGCCCUUCCCGGAUGCCUGGGCCCCUCCCGGACGCCUGGGUCCCUCCUGGACGCCUGGGCCCUUCCCGGACGCCUGGGCCCCUCCCGGACGCCUGGGCCUCUCUCGGACGCCUGGGCCCCUCUCGGACGCCUGGGCCCUUCCUGGAUGCCUGGGCCCCUCCUGGAUGCCUGGGCCCCUCUCGGACGCCUGGGCCCUUUCCUGGACGCCUGGGUCCCUCUCGGACGCCUGGGCCCUUCCCGGACGCCUGGGUCCCUCUCGGACGCCUGGGCCCUUCCCGGACACCUGGGCCCUUCCCGGACGCCUGGGCCCCCGGGGCAGGGAGUCGCCGUGGGGGCGGGAACCCAGCCUAGAUUAGCAGGGUGGGACCGACAUCGGUAUCAAAACCACGCGGGCAGGGGCCCAGGCGUCCGGGCAGCGAUCCAGGAGGGGCCCAGGCGUCCGGGGGACCCAGGUGUCCAGGGCAGGAGGGACCCAGGCGUCCGGGAAAAGGGGCCCAGGCGUCCGGGAAAAGGGGCCCAGGCGUCCGGGAAAAGGGGCCCAGGUGUCCGGGAAAAGGGGCCCAGGUGUCCGGGUGGAAAGGGCCCAGGCAUCCGGGGAAGGGCCCAGGCAUUUCGGGAAGGGGCCCAGGCGUCCGAGGAGGGACCCAGGCAUCCGGGCCAAGAGGGGCCCAGGCGUCUGAGAAGGGGCCCAGGCGUCCGGGGCAGGAGGGGCCCAGGUGUCCGGGGGUGAAGGGACCCAGGCACCCAGGGAAGGGCCCAGGCGUCCGGGGAAGGGGCCCAGGCAUCCGGGCCAAGAGGGACUCAGGUAUCUGGGAAAAGGGCCCAGGCGUCCGGGGGCGAAGGAACCCACGUGUCUGGGGAAGGGGCCCAGGCGUCCGGGCCAAGAGGGACCCAGGCGUCCGGGGGGCAGGAGGGGCCC